CCUACGGGAGGCAGCAGUAGGGAAUAUUGGGCAAUGGACGAGAGUCUGACCCAGCCAUGCCGCGUGCAGGAAGACGGCGUUCUGCGUUGUAAACUGCUUUUAUCUGGGAAGAAAAGGCCCAUGCGUGGGACAUUGCCGGUACCAGAUGAAUAAGCACCGGCUAACUCCGUGCCAGCAGCCGCGGUAAUACGGAGGGUGCAAGCGUUGUCCGGAUUUAUUGGGUUUAAAGGGUGCGUAGGCGGCUAUUUAAGUCAGUGGUGAAAGACUCCGGCUCAACCGGGGCAGUGCCAUUGAUACUGGAUAGCUUGAGUAUUGGAGGGGUACAUGGAAUUGAUGGUGUAGCGGUGAAAUGCAUAGAUACCAUCAGGAACACCGAUAGCGAAGGCAUUCUACUGGCCAAUAACUGACGCUGAUGCACAAAAGCAGGGGGAGCGAACAGGAUUAGAUCCCCUGGUAGUCCAA
rnacentral:rRNA from 1 species